rnacentral:rRNA from 1 species
GCACAGCGAAAGGUGCUUGCACCUUUCAAGUGAGUGGCGAACGGGUGAGUAACACGUGGACAACCUGCCUCAAGGCUGGGGAUAACAUUUGGAAACAGAUGCUAAUACCGAAUAAAACUUAGUGUCGCAUGACACAAAGUUAAAAGGCGCUUCGGCGUCACCUAGAGAUGGAUCCGCGGUGCAUUAGUUAGUUGGUGGGGUAAAGGCCUACCAAGACAAUGAUGCAUAGCCGAGUUGAGAGACUGAUCGGCCACAUUGGGACUGAGACACGGCCCAAACUCCUACGGGAGGCUGCAGUAGGGAAUCUUCCACAAUGGGCGAAAGCCUGAUGGAGCAACGCCGCGUGUGUGAUGAAGGCUUUCGGGUCGUAAAGCACUGUUGUAUGGGAAGAACAGCUAGAAUAGGAAAUGAUUUUAGUUUGACGGUACCAUACCAGAAAGGGACGGCUAAAUACGUGCCAGCAGCCGCGGUAAUACGUAUGUCCCGAGCGUUAUCCGGAUUUAUUGGGCGUAAAGCGAGCGCAGACGGUUUAUUAAGUCUGAUGUGAAAGCCCGGAGCUCAACUCCGGAAUGGCAUUGGAAACUGGUUAACUUGAGUGCAGUAGAGGUAAGUGGAACUCCAUGUGUAGCGGUGGAAUGCGUAGAUAUAUGGAAGAACACCAGUGGCGAAGGCGGCUUACUGGACUGCAACUGACGUUGAGGCUCGAAAGUGUGGGUAGCAAACAGGAUUAGAUACCCUGGUAGUCCACACCGUAAACGAUGAACACU